rnacentral:rRNA from 1 species
CCCGCACAAGCGGUGGAGCAUGUGGUUAAUUCGAAGCAACGCGAAGAACCUUACCAGGUCUUGACAUCCCUGACAACCCGAGAGAUCGGGCGUUCCCCCUUCGGGGGACAGGGUGACAGGUGGUGCAUGGUUGUCGUCAGCUCGUGUCGUGAGAUGUUGGGUUAAGUCCCGCAACGAGCGCAACCCUCGACCUUAGUUGCCAGCAUUCAGUUGGGCACUCUAAGGUGACUGCCGGCUAAAAGUCGGAGGAAGGUGGGGAUGACGUCAAAUCAUCAUGCCCCUUAUGACCUGGGCUACACACGUGCUACAAUGGGCGGUACAAAGGGUCGCGAACCCGCGAGGGGGAGCCAAUCCCAAAAAGCCGCUCUCAGUUCGGAUUGCAGGCUGCAACUCGCCUGCAUGAAGCCGGAAUCGCUAGUAAUCGCGGAUCAGCAUGCCGCGGUGAAUACGUUCCCGGGCCUU